rnacentral:rRNA from 1 species
GGCGUGCCUAACACAUGCAAGUCGAACGAAGCACCUUACCGGAUUCUUCGGAUGAAAGUUUGGUGACUGAGUGGCGGACGGGUGAGUAACGCGUGGGUAACCUGCCCUGUACAGGGGGAUAACAGCUGGAAACGGCUGCUAAUACCGCAUAAGCGCACGGGGAGACAUCUCCUUGUGUGAAAAACUCCGGUGGUACAGGAUGGGCCCGCGUCUGAUUAGCUGGUUGGCAGGGUAACGGCCUACCAAGGCAACGAUCAGUAGCCGGUCUGAGAGGAUGAACGGCCACAUUGGAACUGAGACACGGUCCAAACUCCUACGGGAGGCAGCAGUGGGGAAUAUUGCACAAUGGGGGAAACCCUGAUGCAGCAACGCCGCGUGAGUGAAGAAGUAUUUCGGUAUGUAAAGCUCUAUCAGCAGGGAAGAUAAUGACGGUACCUGACUAAGAAGCUCCGGCUAAAUACGUGCCAGCAGCCGCGGUAAUACGUAUGGAGCAAGCGUUAUCCGGAUUUACUGGGUGUAAAGGGUGCGUAGGUGGCAGUGCAAGUCAGAUGUGAAAGGCCGGGGCUCAACCCCGGAGCUGCAUUUGAAACUGCUCGGCUAGAGUACAGGAGAGGCAGGCGGAAUUCCUAGUGUAGCGGUGAAAUGCGUAGAUAUUAGGGGGAACACCAGUGGCGAAGGCGGCCUGCUGGACUGUUACUGACACUGAGGCACGAAAGCGUGGGGAGCAAACAGGAUUAGAUACCCUGGUAGUCCACGCCGUAAA